GUGGCCGCGCUGUCCGGCUCUGCGGCCACUCGAGGGUGGCGGGGGGGCGGUCCCGGUCCCUCCCGGCGGGGGCGGCCGCUGUGGCCCGAGGCCGGACGGGUACAGGAACGGGCGCACCGGUACCGGCACCGAGCCCGGCCCGCGGAACCGGGACCAUGGCGGGGCUGGAGCGGUGCCAGCGCGAGGCCGAGGAGGUGGCGGAGCUGAUGCGACAGAACGUGGCCAAGGCGCUGGAGCGGGAGGGACACCUGGAGCAGCUGCAGAGCCGGGCCCAGGACCUGCGACAGGCGAGCGAGGCCUUCACCCGCACCACGCGCACGGUGACGCGGCGCCAGCGCAGGAGACACCGCCGGUGGCACCUGGUGGCCCUCGGCCUCGGCCUCCUCCUCUUCUUCAUCCUGGCGCUGGCCCUGGCGCUGGCCCUGGCGCGGGCAUCGCCCGGGGCUGUCACCAGCACUGUCCCCACCCCGCAGGGCGGCACCCAGCACCCCCCCAGCACCGCGGGCACCCUCUGAGCACAGAGGGACCGCAAGGGACAAUGAAUAAAUGACAGAUAAACACCCGGGCUCUGGGGACA
rnacentral:lncRNA from 1 species